GCCUACGGCCACACCACCCUGAUCUUGGAGGCUAAGCAGGGCUGGGCCUGGUUAGUACCAGGAUGGCAGACUGCCUGGGCAUCCCAAGUGCGAUAGGUU
rnacentral:rRNA from 1 species